rnacentral:rRNA from 1 species
UACAGAGGUCCCAAGCGUUGUUCGGAUUCACUGGGCGUAGAGGGUGCGUAGGUGGUCGGGUAAGUCUGAUGUGAAAUCUCCGAGCUUAACUCGGAAAUGGCAUUGGAUACUAUUCGGCUAGAGGGUUUGAGGGGGGACUGGAAUACUUGGUGUAGCAGUGAAAUGCGUAGAUAUCAAGUGGAACACCAGUGGCGAAGGCGAGUUCCUGGAAAACUCCUGACACUGAGGCACGAAAGCUAGGGGAGCAAACAGG